UGAGCAAUCUGCCCUUCUCAUCGGAAUAAGCGUUGGAAACGACGUCUAAUGCCGAAUACGACCUCCUUUCGCAUGAUCGGAGGUGGAAAGCUCCGGCGGAGAAGGAUGAGCUCGCGGCCUACCAGCUAGUUGGUGUGGGUAAUGGCCCACCAAGGCGACGACGGGUAGCCGGCCUGAGAGGGUGACCGGCCACACUGGGACUGAGACACGGCCCAGACCUCCGUACGGGAGGNAG
rnacentral:rRNA from 1 species